CAUAGCGGCGGCGGCGGCGCUAGGAGCGGGGAGAGGUGUGGGGCAGCUCCCGGCGCUGGGGGACGCGGCCGGCGACUGCCGGGGCACUCGGGUGUCACGGGCUGCAAAGCUGGUGGGUGCGGUUGGCCACGGUCGCAAGAAGCAGCGCCAAGAAACGCGCUCAGGCCGCCCGGGCCUGUCGCCCGCCGCCGAGUCGGCCGUGCGGCGACGCUGAGGAUCUCAGCACAGCGGGAGCAGGAGCUGCUCAUCGCAGUGGGAACAGAAGCUUUGUCUCCUGCAGAAAGGGCCAACUUCUGCUGCAGUAAGACAACAGCUCCCCAGCGGCGUGGACUUGGAAAGCGCAGAGUAUUCUCCCUGGCUGAGAGGAAAGACAUGGCAUGGUUGGAGAAAGGAACUGCAGUACCAGUCCAUCCUCUCUAACAGUACAGGGAAUCCAUUUUUUCUCCUGGCAGAAGCAAAUUAUAAUUAGGUAUCAACAGAGGUACUCAAGGGACCUGCAGCCCCAUCCCAAGCCUGCCUCUCUCAACACAGAAAUACAACCUCUCAGCUCUUUCCUGUUGCUAUGAGGCAAGAGGGGGUCCCAGCAAGGGCCACACAUCCCAGCCAGGUGUGCUGCAAUUUGGCUGCCUGCGGGAGGGAAGAGCCUCUGCAGGCAGAGCUUUAAAGCCAAGUUUCUUUAACCUAGCAGUAGCCACACAGCAAGGACUGCUGCUUUCCUCCUCUCUGCCACCACUCGGAGACGAGGCUGACUAAAUCGGCCCUAGGCUCCUGUCCUCCCGCCAUCCAGGCCCAGAUUGCGAGAUGCUGGGCUGCACCUACUCCAUCGCCCCCCAGCCUGCUUUGCCAACCCUCUCUAGCAGCCUUGAGGUUAAUUCACUUCAGACAGGAAGAAUAUUUUUGUCACAAAGCAGGUGGGUGAUCUCCACUACUCACUUCGGUCUGUAAUGGGGUUGCUGCAGCAUUAGAAGAGCAUUUGAAAACCCUUAGUGUUCUCUUUCUGUCUCGCAGCAGGAGCUGAUUGUGCAGUUCUCACUGUCAGUCUGUGUAGCCCCCACCACUUCACUUCUGGGCUGGCUGGGCUUGCGCUCCUCUUUCAUCCUCACACCUUAACCACACUGUUCCUCAGGCCAUCAACAGCAACAAGACUCAGGAACGACUAGAACAUGUAAACACAUCUCCUAGCUGGAGCAAGGAAUAGAUGACCAGAUUUUUUCAUUUAUUUGUUUGUUUUUUUAUGUAUAUUUAAAGAGAGCUCCACAGUUUGUUAGAGUAAAAAACUAGGAAGGGCAGGGGGAUGUUUUCUGUUGUGGGGCAGAGGCUGUAUCAGCUGGACAACCCAUGACAGCAGGGAUCACAGGUCUGUGGUCUAACGAGCACAGAAAUGCCUGGCACAGGGCAGAAGGACGUUCACACUUGUGAUGAAGCAUCAAGGUGUCCGCCUGGUGUCUGCCACAUGAAGGAGAGUGCUUCUGCCCAGUCUGCUGGAGAAGCAGCACGGCAGGAUCCCCUGGCUGGGAUCCAUGCAGUUGUUGAGUCCGACUGUCUCGCAUUACAUCAGCCCUGGUCAUAACCUGACCUAGCUUCCUCUUUAUUAGCUGCUGAUUUUCCAAGAACUGGACUACAGCAUGAGGACAGCACUUCCCCACUGACAAUGCCAAACUCAAAAACGAUGGGAUUAAACAAGCCAACAGAAAACUAUACUGAGAGUUUCUUCCUUUCUCUUUUUCAAGCCUUCUGGAAGCCUUUAUUUCAUAUUCUCAAGCUUGUCUCAGACUACAAACUCAUUUUGUUAAAUAGAAUAUUGAUACCAUUUUAAAAUUGUUUUUGGUGGACUAGGCCCAAAGAUUGGUGCCUAUAUUCAAAGAUGCAGUACUGCUUUGCAGCAGAGUUUAACUGGGGUGCCAUUUUUGCUUUUGAACUUAUUGUAAUUAUAACAGAUUUUUUUUUAAUAUG